UUGGGAUCAGAGCACCUAGGUGGAGUUGCUACAGUUGCGGAGUGACACCCCAGGAAUCCAGGAAGCUGGAGAGGAAGGGAGAGGGCCGUCUCGCACACUAGAACUGAAGCUGCCGUGUGCUGAGCCCGAGCCGUGCUGGGUGGCAGCGAUUCUGAGCACUGGAGCGCAGAGUUACAGAGAGUGAGAAGGAGAGACAGAGAGGUCUUCCAUCUGCUAGUUUACUCCCCAAAUGACUGCAACAGCCAGAGCUGAGCUGAUCCGAAGCCAGGAGCCAGGAGCCAGGAGCUUCUUCCGGGUCUCCCAGGUGACUAAUGGUGUGGAAUAUGCAGAAGACAGGGACCAUCGCGGACUGUCUCAGAGGCUGCAGAGCCACGCCCCUGGGUGACAGUGGGCGGAUGAUACGUUUUGUGUGAUCUAUCAAGUGCAUUUGUAAAAAGCUGAAUGAGUUGCCAGCUUCUAAACACCCAGAGAUCUCAUAUAAAAAUUGUAUCUCUA